CAGCCGCCACGGGAAUACGGAGGGUGCAAGCGUUAAUCGGAAUUACUGGGCGUAAAGCGCACGCAGGCGGUCUGACAAGUCAGAUGUGAAAUCCCCGGGCUUAACCUGGGAACUGCAUUUGAAACUGUCAGGCUGGAGUCUUGUAGAGGGGGGUGGAAUUCCAGGUGUAGCGGUGAAAUGCGUAGAGAUCUGGAGGAAUACCGGUGGCGAAGGCGGCCCCCUGGACAAAGACUGACGCUCAGGUGCGAAAGCGUGGGGAGCAAACAGGAUUAGAGACCCGCGUAGUCCCUGUCUCUUAUAC
rnacentral:rRNA from 1 species